UCAAACCCACCAUUGAAACAACCGCUAUCUACACAACCAAAUUUCAACUUACUGAUCUGUUUGCUGCCAGCCUUUCCAGAUCUGUUUCUUCCCAAUAACUCCGACUCACCUCUUCAGCCCCCAAAAGCCUCAAAUCUGAAACCUCGUUCACCCUCUUCAACCCUUGAAACCAUCAACAAUCAGAGACCUGUGUCAACAAAUUUUGAAUGGAGAAUCAGAUAUGAUGGUAGUAGAUUACAGAGGUGCAACGAUGGUGGUGCUUCACUGGAUAUGAAGUUCGUGGCGGUGGUGGUUGUAGUUGAUGCGUAGAUCAGAAAAAAAGCAGAAAUAGAUCAGAUCCAGAUUGUAGUUGACUCAAAUCUGACUUGGUUUCAUUUAAUUCAAAUAGAGCUAUAAAAAGUCAAAAAUCAGUACCUGUAAUGAUUAUUAAUAACGGAUUGGAUCGAUAAGCAUAACAACAUACAUGAUCGGGCAAGGAUCUGUACCACAAUUACAAACUCACCGUUUUCCCGUUGAUGAACGUGGUUGUCGUGAAAAACCUUCAGCUUGUGGAGGCUGUGAAUCUUGAAGAUAAUCAUAGAUCUGGUGCUUCAUUGGUGAUGUGGUGGUUACAUUAUAUUUGUUUUAUUUAUUAAAAUUCUUUUAAAGUUAAAAGACUAAUUUAC
rnacentral:lncRNA from 1 species